GCUCAAGCAGUCUUCCUGCCUCAGCCUUCCGAGUAGCUGAGAUUACAGAUGCAUACUGUUGUACCCAGAAAUACUUUUUAAAUUUAAUUGUUAACAGCCUACGUUUGAAUAAGGCCAUAUGUACCGCUUCAUAAUUCUCUGGUAAAAUUAUAUCAGUCUGCACCUCAAAAGGUGUUUGGUAGUUUGGUUCUACUGAGAUUUUGUUGUCAUAGUUCCAGAAGUCACAUGCCCAACAAAACUGGGUUUGAUAGUCUACUGUAAGACUGACUGUACAAAGCUUGAUGGGGCACCCAUUCCAUCACUUUAUGCUCUUUUCCCAUCUCCUUGUAAGGGUAGGUACCUUAGGGCAGGAACAAGGUUAAGCAGAUGGGAAGGCACUCUGAGUGAAACACCUGUUUCCAGUUGAUCUCCAGGUGUGAGCAGGCAGUAGCUAAUAAGGAAGGAUGACUGAAUGUAUGAAUAGUCAGUCACUUCACUGCCAGCUUAACCCGAAAGGCAUAGAGAUAGGUUGGGGUGUUGAACAAUUUUGGACUGACCCUGCUGAAUACAGUAUUUCAGUGGAAUGAAAGGACAGUUUCCUUUUUAGGAAAACUAUGUGUUCCAAAUUGAUAUACCCCUACCACCACUUCUCAGCCUCUUCUUAGAAAUUCAAUAUAAUAACAGUUCAGGAGCCUCUUGAGCCUUUCAACAUCCUCAGUCUGCUUUUUCCAUCCUGCCUUUUUUUCUGCUCUUCUUGGAUAAUCUUUCCCACUCAUUUUCCCCUCCAACAAUUUGGCAGUAGUAGGAAAGGUGGGAAGAAGAAUGGUGAUUUGUUCAAAUUUUUCUUUGCCCCACACAUGAAAUGGGUACUGCUGAAGGCAGUGAAAAAUAGAUGGCUGUGGGUGGUUUGUUAGUGACUCAUCAGUCUUCCCAUUCUGCUGGGAAAGGGAAGGGCUGGGACCAGAUGGGAAUGCAUUCCAGAGACUCUUGCUUUAAAUGAUUUCUCAUUUAUGUGAUUUAUUUAAAAAUAAAUAAUUGUUAGGCCAAGUAAGGGCCACGAAAAAGUAUACACUUCAUUGAAUUGCCACAUUGCCACAUUUUUCCUAGACAUGGUUAAUAAAGCCUUCUGAUAGAAUAGCCACUGGUGAGGAUUUCUUUUUUAAAUUAUUUCCUGGUGGUGAAUUUAUGAUUAUACUUCAUGGUACUAUGAAUGCUUGAUCUACAUAAUCAAGAUUAGUAUUGUUGUUACUAAAUAUUUACAGGACUCCAAAUUAGUAAGUUGUAUACAAAACAAAUACCACUCUUACCCUCAUGAAAUAAUAAACAAAAUGAUUUAUGAAGGUAAAGCUUGUGGCAGGGAUAAGCCUGCACUCAGUGGAGAAAUAAAGAAAUGAGCAUAGGGAAGAGGAACCCCAGGAACAUUUGCUGUGGUCAUUUUGGAAAUACUUGCAUAGUCAAGUGUAUUUCUUAGGACUAUCUGUAAUUUUACUUUAUUAAAUUGAGGUUUAUUUAUUUAAGGAUAAUGUGGUUCCAAGAAGUCUGUUUCCAGGGUCUAUAGUUUGAAGCUCCUUUUACCUUAAAAGUAUGUCCUGACCCCUGAAGACUGACCAUCUGGCUAGUGUGGUUGUUGUCAUUGUGAUCAAUAAAGACAGCUUUGAUUUAUGAGCAAUUUAUCCUGCUUACAACUGCACAGAAGUGGCAGUGGUUCAUAUUUUGGCUUCUAUUCAGCUGGGGGAACUUGAGCUACCUUAGUUCUUUCAGAAAGCCUGACUAGGAAGCUGGCAUCAUGGCAGGAAUGUUUUAGUUAGUUUCAGGAAGUCAGGGUACCAAUGUCAGAGUAAUUACACUGACAGAAUAACUACUUUUUAUUUUCUUUAAAAUCCAAAUUAUGCUUUAAAUUAUGAUCCUAUUUAAGUAUAUUAUUUAAAAGUUAAAUAUGUUAUUUUAACAUUUCUAAAUUUUGAGAGCUUUUUAUCAAUAACUUGGGGCUUUUGAAAAACAGAUGCAGAAAAUAUUUCAAAAUCGGAAGACAUUUUUACUUAGAGUACUAAGUUAACAUUGGUCUGGCUGUAAGGGAGGCAAGAGUGUUCACGAUUAUUUGAGGCAACUCAAAUGGGUUUCUCUUUUUUAUCUUUCCCAGCAUAGACAAACUUCUUGUUUUUGUGAAGGGAAAAUACUUUACCCCAGAAUGGCAAUAAAGAUAGAGGAAACGUUCUUUCCUUUAAAUGGAGAAGGCAAAUUUCUCAUUAGACUUCAUUAAUUAGUUGAGAACAAUGAAACAAGGACAAAGGAAGAGCCUGUGAAGCUGCUGAGCAAAAUUCACCAAUAUCCCCGCACUGAAGCUUAAGCCUGAACUCAGAAGAAAAUCUUGGACCUGUACUCGGACCUCAUUUACUCUUACUUAUACAAAACUUUAAAAACAGUGGUUAUCUGGUUUCCAAACUCCUAGAUUUAAACCAGCAUUUUAGAAGAACCAGAGGGAUGCAUCUAUUAAGAUGUCAGCAAUGAGAAGGGGCACUUGGUUUCUGCAAGGAAGGAGAGAGGGAGUAGACUUGGCCAGCAGGGCAGUGCAGAUCUCUAUAGCUAAAGGGCUGGUAGCCCAGCUUAGUGAGGCUGUGAGGGCACUACUGGGAGGACCUAGUACAGUAAAUUUGUUCAUAAUGAUAACUUUGUAUAUUAAGCAAGUGUUAAGUUAGAUUCUGCAGCGCUGUGGCGCCCCCCUGCCCGCCCCCAGCCACCAUACUGUUACACUGUUGUUUAGGAAGCUAGGGAAGUGUUGAUACAUUUUCAAAAGACACAUUUUCAAAAGACUUUCAUCACCUGGUAAAAUGAAAAUACUGGUUUCAAGAAUAAACCUUCCCUCAGUUAUUCAGGCGGAACCUUUUAUUCUUUAGAAUUAUUGAGAGCUGAAGGUUUUGCCUAUUUAGUACUACUGUCUGUAAAGGCACACUCUUGAAAAUUGGAACCUCAUUUAAUCUGAUUAAUCUGCCAGCAUAGUCUUCCCUUAAGGUAUCAAUCUCUUUCAUUUCUGAUUUUUUCUCCCUUAAAAUUGUAUCAUUAUAGGGCUGUCAUUGUUAUACCAGGAGAGUUCAGUUUCAGAGAAAGACUUUAUAUAUUGGAGGCCUUCUGAAACAGAAGGUGAAUAUAAUUUUCAUAUAUUUAUUUAGAAAAAAUCAGAAACAAAAUUUGUUUUAGGAGAAUCAUCAAAGGGAAUUAAGUGGAAUUUCUUAGUUUUUAAGAUAAUAUUUUAAGGCUAAUACUUCUCUAAUCUGGCUAGAUUUUUUACUUUCUUGGUUAACAAAAUGCUGAAUUUUGAUAUGUAAAAAAAUAUGUAAAUGUAGACUUGUCCUCCUAACAGACUGGCAGAACUGCCCCCCCAAGGAAAAAAAAGAAAACAAAAACUUUAUUCUUAGAGUAACUGCAGAUGUCCCCAGCUAGUUUAUAAAUGUUCCAGGUAGAGUUUACAGUUGCUGGGGAAUACAGCUGCCACAAGAAACGAUUGUCUUAGCCUUUCAGAUGAAUUUCUCCUGCUGUGCAUAUGUAUACAAAGGUAACUUUGAUAGCAGAGUAAAGGAUAAGGGAAAGAGGCAGGGUACAAAUGUAUUCAGUAGAGGUUGAAAGUGUGGAAAGAAUUUGAAAGAAUAAAUGUUAGGAGGAGAGAGAAGUGAAAGAGAACCAGUUAGACCAGUAGUAAGACAGAGCUGUAGCUGUCAUUUAUUGUAUCUUUUCUUCUAUCAUAUUUUACAGUACUAACAUUUAUAGGUUUCUGAAGCAGGGAAAUAAAUUUCUGUUGAAGAUUAAACCUUUUCCAAUUUCUGGCUACCUUAGACAAAAGAAGCAAUUUUAACCUCAAGUAGCAGGGUUUGUACUGUGCCAAAGAAAUUAGUUUGAAUUAUUAUGAAACAGUUGAUGAGCUAAUGUGUUCAAUUUAUACAUGUAUGGCCAUUUCCUUUUUCCUCAAAAUUCUGGAGCCUGAAAACUAGCCAUAUAGUUCAGUUCUCAGGCCAUUUUCAUUUUGUUGUUUUUGUUUUUAUUGAGGAAUUUUCCUUGAUUAUAUAUCCAAUAUAUUUAUAUUUUAGGCAAGUAGAGUAUCCUUUGUAAACAUAACAAUUGUGACUAAAUAAGUGGCCCCUAUAUCUUUUUUAUCUUUUUUUUUUUUUUUUUUUU